rnacentral:rRNA from 1 species
AGAACGAACGCUGGCGGCAUGCCUAAUACAUGCAAGUCGAACGAACACUUCGGUGUUAGUGGCGCACGGGUGCGUAACGCGUGGGAAUCUGCCCUUGGGUUCGGAAUAACAGUUGGAAACGACUGCUAAUACCGGAUGAUAUCGAAAGAUCAAAGAUUUAUCGCCCAGGGAUGAGCCCGCGUAGGAUUAGCUAGUUGGUGAGGUAAAGGCUCACC